AAUAUUGCGCAAUGGGGGGAAACCCUGACGCAGCAACGCCGCGUGUGGGAAGAAGGCCUUCGGGUCGUAAACCACUUUUUGCACGGGACGAAAAAAGGGAUAUCGAACAAAUAUCCCCCGAUGACGGUACCGUGAGAAUAAGCCACGGCUAACUCUGUGCCAGCAGCCGCGGUAAGACAGAGGUGGCAAGCGUUGUUCGGAAUUACUGGGCGUAAAGAGUCUGUAGGUGGUUUGUCAAGUCUUUGGUGAAAAGGCCGUAGCUUAACUAUGGGAAUGCCAAAGAGACUGGCAGGCUGGAGGCUGGGAGAGGGAAGCGGAAUUUCUGGUGUAGCGGUGAAAUGCGUAGAUAUCAGAAGGAAGGCCGGUGGCGAAGGCGGCUUCCUGGAACAGUCCUGACACUGAGAGACGAAAGCGUGGGGAGCAAACAGGAUUAGAUACCCUGGUAGUCCACGCCCUAAACGAUGGGUACUAAGUGUG
rnacentral:rRNA from 1 species